ACCAGGAAACAGAAGAGAGGUUCUGUCCCCCCGUUGCAGGACUCUGGUUUGGUUCGUAUUUUGGCAUAAUUUUUCCAGGAUGUUUUCCUCCAUGCCUUUUCGAAAACAAGUAAAUGCAUCAAAAGAUUGCGAGAAGAUGGAACUUCGGGGUCUUUGCCGAAGGACCCCCUAGCGAAAAAAGGACUGGGAAGUUGUCGAGCUCAUGCAGCUGUUUGCGGAGUACAGAACUCUACGGCCAGAGCAAAAACACCCCAUCAUCCCUCUUCAGCCCCACUGUGUGUUUCUUAAUGCUGCCCUUGGCAGCAGGAGUCUGACGUUUCAGAGGCAAGGCUUUGGAAAUGUCCAUUUUACUAUUCUGGUCUUAAAUUCUCGAACACAGAAAUUCUACAGUCUUGUGAAAGCAUGCCAGAUGAGAUUUAAAACCGUGUUGCGCACUGGACAUUGGACACUGGCAGUUGGAAUUAAUCAGACCACCCUACUUGAAUGAAAUGAAAGCUGUCUGACCAGAUAACACCUCGGUGCUGUAUCUGUGUAGCCGUGGAAACAUCAGAGACCUUCUAAAUCUAGAAGAUCAAGUGAUGGCAGCUUAGACUAAGAGCUAUGGGAUCUCAUGCGUUAUAAUGCAGCUGAAGAAGCACCUCUAUGAAUACAGUGGAAAUGGUCCAGCAACCAGGAUUCUUUGAGGAGGGGCAGGGUUUGAGCAUCAUGGAGAAAUUGAAGACAAUGGUUACAGUAACCUGCAUGACAUCUCCAACUUUUACUCUGGAUUACAGGCUGAUGACAGUGGUUAUGAAGAGUUGAUGACUUAUUUGGGGGACCAAGUGGAACCUUUGACCUGACCCUUACCCUUGCCAUGCACCUAAGACAACACAAGAGAAUGGCAAUGUGCCUAAAGUCCAAGGAUUAGACUUCACCACUUAUGAAGAGUCAAAUCUGGUAGCUGAGCCUCAGAAGGGAGGAAACUGGGCCUGGAGUGAGCUAAACUGUCUUGAAUCACGAUAGUAGGUCUGUGGUGACCCCAAGCCAAACUACUGCAUCAGCACCAUUUUUCCAACAGCAUUUGCUCACUUUGCCCUCAUUUUGGUAAGGUGUGCAUAUCGCCUUUUUUUUUAGACGUGAUGCUAUUUCGCACAGAGACUACCGUGUAGUGUAAGCGUAACUUGCAGGUGCACUGGGACCCCAAGAGUUCGUCUGACUGGCUUUAUGUGAUGUUCCCUUCACCGUGCUGGUCCGGAUGACCUGCAGCAUCUCUGCCGCGUGCCUGCGUCACUGAUCUCUGAAGCCAUCACGCCAACUUCAUUACCACCAGUGGCGGAUGCGCGCUUCUGUUUUACUAGAAUUGGAUAGUACAACAUUAGUCUAAAUGCAAAUUGGUAGAUAUGAAAUAACAUCUAGCUUUUAAAGUCGAAUCUCUUUUAUUACUACAAAGUAUGUAUUCACCAUUUGUAAUUUCUCCCCUGUGGAAUGGUUUACAUUUUUGCCAAUUCAUCUUAAAGGCUGUGUCGGAUUAUAGGAUUUUCAUGUGCUACACCAGUCUCUCCAGGUGUAUUUAUAUCAGCAUGAAGGGAAGGGGUAUCAAAAGGAGUGAGAUGGUCCUAAAUGUUUGCAGAAUUGUUGUUGUCCUGGUUGCCUCUUCCCUGGGGCAUUAGCAUUUGGUAUUUAGUGAAAGACAAUGAAAUUCCUAGGAGGACAUUCUUUUGGGGAAAGAACUAAUUUCCUUUCUAUUGUAAAAUAUGUAGCAGUUAUGGAUAUAAUUUAGAUAAAAAAUACAAAAAAGGCAAAAGGAAUUUUCCAUUGUUCCUGUAAUGUGCUUCUGAAAAAUUUUAGCAGUCUUAGGUUUAUUAGCUUCUUUUCCCAGUAGGACACCGCAUAGCUUCUUACCCGAACUAAAGUAAAAUUUUACUGUAAAGGAGCACUAACUAAAACAGCCAAGAAAAUUUAUCUAUAGCUGUUAGAAAUCCUGCUUUCUUAAGGAUAGUUUUGGUUCUGAUUAUGGAAGUGCAACUGCAUUUUUCUAAAACUAGAAGUACAUUUUGUAUCUAAACAAUAAUCACUCUUAGGGAAACGAAUAUCAAAAUAUCACAAAUAUGAAAAAAGGAAGUCUCAUGGAGAGCUACAAAAAUGGCAGAGAGAAUGGAUAGUAGCCACAAAAAUAGCCUUUUCACAGUAAUUCCCUCUGGCAUAGAUAUUUAGUUGUAGGA